GUCUAAGUAUAAGCAACUAUACGGUGAAACUGCGAAUGGCUCAUUAAAUCAGUUAUCGUUUAUUUGAUAGUACCUUACUACAUGGAUACCUGUGGUAAUUCUAGAGCUAAUACAUGCUAAAAACCUCGACUUCGGAAGGGGUGUAUUUAUUAGAUAAAAAACCAAUGCCCUUCGGGGCUCCUUGGUGAAUCAUAAUAACUUAACGAAUCGCAUGGCCUUGCGCCGGCGAUGGUUCAUUCAAAUUUCUGCCCUAUCAACUUUCGAUGGUAGGAUAGUGGCCUACCAUGGUAGCAACGGGUAACGGGGAAUUAGGGUUCUAUUCCGGAGAGGGAGCCUGAGAAACGGCUACCACAUCCAAGGAAGGCAGCAGGCGCGCAAAUUACCCAAUCCCGAUACGGGGAGGUAGUGACAAUAAAUACUGAUACAGGGCUCUUUUGGGUCUUGUAAUUGGAAUGAGUACAAUUUAAAUCCCUUAACGAGGAACAAUUGAGG
rnacentral:rRNA from 1 species